ACGAACGCUGGCGGCGUGCUUAACACAUGCAAGUCGAACGGAAAGGCCCUGCUUUUGUGGGGUGCUCGAGUGGCGAACGGGUGAGUAACACGUGAGUAACCUGCCCUUGAGUUUGGGAUAACUUCAGGAAACUGGGGCUAAUACCGGAUAGGAGCUCCUGCUGCAUGGUGGGGGUUGGAAAGUUUCGGCGGUUGGGGAUGGACUCGCGGCUUAUCAGCUUGUUGGUGGGGUAGUGGCUUACCAAGGCUUUGACGGGUAGCCGGCCUGAGAGGGUGACCGGCCACAUUGGGACUGAGAUACGGCCCAGACUCCUACGGGAGGCAGCAGUGGGGAAUAUUGCACAAUGGGCGGAAGCCUGAUGCAGCAACGCCGCGUGCGGGAUGACGGCCUUCGGGUUGUAAACCGCUUUCGCCUGUGACGAAGCGUGAGUGACGGUAAUGGGUAAAGAAGCACCGGCUAACUACGUG
rnacentral:rRNA from 1 species